GGCCGGAUGAGGACAGGUGCAGAUCUCUGGCAGGAGAGACCCACAGCCAGUGGACAGAUGGACCAGGAAGGAGGGACAAUGGUGAAGCAAAAGGAAAUCUCAGCCCACUUUGGGUUCAAACCUAAGAGACAUUCCCAUGGACUCAAAAUUCAUGGACUUUUCCACGGGAAAAACCUUCCUCCACAAAGUCCACCAAGGGUAUUAUCAGCUACAAGGUGAUGCUCUGAAAGUGAACAGUUCUUAGUACCUACAAAUAAAAAUCUGCCAAAACAAAAGCUGAACCCAGCCAGGAAGAAUACACGUGCAUUGUCUUGAGAAGGCUGCAUGGUGGUUCUUGAAGAGAGAGUUCCGUGCUCUUUACAACUGCUCGGGCUGCUAUGAAGUCCAGUCAGUCAAGGAGGCAGGUGCCUUGUUUGUGCUUUACCUGGGCACCAUGUGUGGUGCUUGGAGCGGCUCCAUGGAGGUAGAAGCUGAGAUGGAUUGGAAGAAAAGUCAGUGCCCGCCACCCUGGACAAAGCUUGGCACACUUGCAAAUAUCAUCAUACACAAAAUGGGGUAUCGAGGAGACUCUGCAGGUGGCUGAUGCUCCUCCUGGUACCCUAAGCCAGAGAAAGCGUCAGCUGAGCUCAUCCGAGGUGAACGCCUGGUCCACUUUCUCCAAAAGCAGACUUACUUCUUUUCCUCCAGUGCAUCCCUCAGCAGAGCCAGAAGCAGAAGCCAUGGUCCAGAGGCUCUUGGGUUCCCAAAGGCUGACAAUGAUCCAGCUCCCCCCUAUCUUCUACGAAGGCUGGGGGAGGGGGGCAGUAAAAUCAAGGGGGUGCAGACCAUUUUGUUAAAGUGUUGGCAGCAAAAUGUCAUGCCAUGUGUCACAUUUUCAGGAAGUAACAAUCAAAUGCAUGUAGAGAUAGAAACCAGACUAGUGGUUGCCUAGGUCUGGGGUCGGGGAUGAGGAGCAUUGGGGGAUGAUGGCUAGAGGGUGGGAGAUUUCUUUUUUGGGGUAAUGAAAAUGUUCUAAAAAUGGUGGUGGUGGUCACGCAACUCUAUGAAUAUAUUAAAAGCCUUUGAAUUGUGCAUGAUACGUUGGGUGAAUUGUACGGUAGAUGAAUUACCUCUCAAUAAAUCUGCUCAAAAAAUCAAAUGCAUCCUCUUUCUUCUUCCAGGCUAGAAGGUAGGAUAGGAUGAAGGAGUUUGGGGACAAGCACUCCUCAAGGUUUUUUUUCAUUUCCCCAGAUCCCAGGUUUUGUUUUGUUUUUGUUGUUUGUUUGUUUGCCACAGCAUCUCAGUUCCCAGAGCAGGAACUUUCACUUGGCUGGUGAAAGCGCCAAAUACCAACCACUAGACCUCAGGAAACUCCCUCACUUUCCCAAUUUUUAUUCUGGGUGUUUUUUUUUUUUUUUUUUUUUUUUGUCUUUUUUUUGACUUUCUAGGGCCG
rnacentral:lncRNA from 9 species